UUUUGAUGGACAAUACUAUUGCAUCAUUAUUUUGCUUCAACUUUGUGGGUACAUUCAAUGUAAUUCACAAGGAGGUAUCUUCAUGGCAUUGGUCUAUACAUGCUUGGAGUAGGACGCGAGGAUAUCAUAGGCACAUGGAGUAUGAUGUUGUAUUUGUAUAUGAGUACAUUGAUGCAACUUUGUAUUGAUGAUAUACGAUAUAUUUGUACAUGAGUACAUUGAUGUAAUUGCAUUGACGAUUUACAAUAUAGUUGUACAUGAGUACAUUAUUGUAGUUGUAUUGACGAUAUACAAUUUCUUUGUACAUGAGUACGUCGAUGUAGUUGUAUUGAUGAUAUACAAUGUAUUUGUACAUGAGUACAUGGGUAAUCAAAAGGACAUGUAGUUGUAAUAGUGA